AUUAGCGUUUGACAGCGAGCAGCAGAGGAUACACAAGGGGGCAGCUGCAGGCAGUUUACAACAGGAAGCUUUUGGAAUCUUUCCUGGGCAGCCACCAUUUCUUCAUUAUCUACAGCGGUGGUAUUUCUAAGCAGUCUGUGAUGCAGGUACUUGGAAGAUGAUCUGUCUCCAUUCAAUAAAACUGGCUGGAAAAAUAAACAUCCCCAAGUAUUUAGGCAGAGACCAAUUCCUCAUUAAAGAUGACACAACUCUGCAAAUAUUCACGUAUGACUAGUUCCUCAGAGACGAUGACAUAAGAAAAAGGUUUUGGUAAUGUGCUUCUUCUUCAGUAAAUACAUCUUUUUCUGGAAACUAAAUCCUUCCUCUGGACAAGCAUCACUAUGUCAAGCAAUUCUGUACAAAACUGAAGUAUAGCAAUUAGCAAGAAAUUAAUGAAAUAAUGUGAAUGCUCUUAUAAACUUCUAUGGACUAUUGUAGUUUUCAUCUUUGUCAUCAAAACAUCAAACAUGCUCCACUUCAGUCACUCUGUAACUGUGGUAGCCAAGGAAGGGUGUGUUUUUAACAAAAAAUAGCAAACAUUGUUUUUGAUAUGUUACUGGAGCUGGAAUAAUUCAUUAAAGAGUCGACCUGUUGGCCUCAAACUCUUGCCCAGAUCGGUGCUAAGAGUGAUUUCAGAACAACUGAUUGGCCCUGAAGUGUUCCAUUCUGUGGAGCAGUGAUGUCAAAUGUGGUAUGACUGCAUUUUCUUGAGAUGACUGGCCUUCAUGUUUCUCUUCCUCGGGACAACCAGAAGGCUUGAAAUGUAAAACUCAGACAGCCUUUUGAGAGCCUCUGUGCAGUAUGGAGUCCUUAAACUUUUGAAAGCAGUUACAGGAAUUUGGAUUACUAUCUGGAACACUGGCAACACUUAAUAACCAGAAAAUGUCAGAAGAGAAUUUGG